CUACUCUGCUUGGCACCUCCUGAGAGGACUGUGGACCAUGUAUGUGAUUUCCUAAAAUCCAGGCUGCUGUUCUGAAACAGUGGGACACAGAGGAACAGGCCUACAUAGACCAGACACUGAUCUGCAUGUGUGACAAGCCAAGCUGAGAGAGCCAAGGGAUCUUCUUCCAAACAUGUUUCUUCUCCUCUAUAGCAUGAUCAUUAAGUGGCAACACACAGCAGAGAAAAGGAGACAAGAGAGGCAAAGGAAGAGACAUAGGUGAGACCAUUGCUGAUUUCAAAGCAGUUUGCCAUACUUUUGAAAUACACCAUUGAUAUAGAUGACAGUGACACUUAAGCACUUUGCACACUAGUUGUUCUUCAAAAAAGUUUUCUCCCUAAUUCUUAUACUCAACUAAUGAGCACCUUGAAAGGAAAAAGUGCACCAGUAAAACCUUGCAUAUGGCAAGGAGGAAAAGCUGCUGGUUUCCACUACUUCAUGCAAACUGUUUUCUGUAGGAAAAAGAAAUGGGCUACCAGAGCUAAUUCUACACAGCCAGAAUAUCACAGAAUUCAGAAAUGUCUGUCUGGGGAAAAUAUUCAGCCCCAACACAGCUGAAUAGAAGAGGACCAGAUGUCAUUCUUUUUCUGUUCCAGGGAAGGGGGAAAGGUUUCCUACAACAGCAUAUUUUCCCUCCAUCUCAAGAAAAGCUGGAUUAAUAAAUAAGCAUCACAGUGUGGAUUUCUGCCCUGCCUCCAUCUGUUAAGCCACUCCAGUGCUCCAGAGAGUCUUCGUACAAAUAACACUAUCUAUAAAUUU